GCCGGCCUAGCUCAAUUGGUAGAGCAACUGAUUUGUAAUCAGUAGGUUGGGGGUUCAAGUCCUCUGGCCGGCACCA
rnacentral:tRNA from 9 species